rnacentral:lncRNA from 1 species
AGAUCGCUUAGCUGUGGUCCAGCAUGCAGAAGUGAGCGUGUGGUGAAAGGCAGCAGACCCAAUGGGUUGCGAGGAUGUAAGAGUGUUUGAAGGCUUCCACACCCUCUCCUCCAGGAAUCAUGAAUAAACUGGAGGACAAGCAGGACCAGAUGAUACCAUGAAGAGAAGUUUACAGGCCCUCUAUUGCCAACUGUUAAGCUUUCUCCUAACCUUGGCACUGACCAAAGCACUGGUACUCGCCGUCCAGGGACCAUCUCCCAGGGAAUCUCUGCAGACCCUCCCCUCAGGCAGCCCCCCAGGCACCAUGGUGACAGCAACUCACAGCCCUACCAGACUCUCCUCUGUGAUGACCCUGAGCCCUAAACCU